GAUGAACGCUGGCGGCGUGCCUAAUACAUGCAAGUAGAACGCUGAAGGAGGAGCUUGCUCUUCUGGAUGAGUUGCGAACGGGUGAGUAACGCGUAGGUAACCUGCCUGGUAGCGGGGGAUAACUAUUGGAAACGAUAGCUAAUACCGCAUGACAACAGUUAUUGCAUGAUAACUGUUUAAAAGGGGCAACUGCUCCACUACCAGAUGGACCUGCGGUGUAUUAGCUAGUUGGUGAGGUAACGGCUCACCAAGGCGACGAUACAUAGCCGACCUGAGAGGGUGAUCGGCCACACUGGGACUGAGACACGGCCCAGACUCCUACGGGAGGCAGCAGUAGGGAAUCUUCGGCAAUGGACGGAAGUCUGACCGAGCAACGCCGCGUGAGUGAAGAAGGUUUUCGGAUCGUAAAGCUCUGUUGUAAGAGAAGAACGAGUGUGAGAGUGGAAAGUUCACACUGUGACGGUAUCUUACCAGAAAGGGACGGCUAACUACGUG
rnacentral:rRNA from 1 species